GUCCAGCUGCCCCUGAGCUGGCAGAAUGUGGCAGAAAUUGAUGAAGAGUCGGUGCAUGGUCCUGGUGAAGCCACUGAGGAUGGCACUAGAACAGCGUCCUGUGUUGAUGCUGUGGAGCAUCUGGGGGCCUUUAACCACAUCACCCUGUUUCUGGUAUUCCCCCUGGCUCCAGACAUCCUGCUCUGCAUCUGGAUUUUUAAGGCGCCUUACUUUAAUCUCUACUUUGAUUUGGAAUUAUGGACUUUUGAUCCACAGCAAAGCGUCAUUCAUGCCCAUGAAUCUGGGAAUCAUGGCUGUCCUUCUCUAGGACAUGUGAUGGUCCUGUCUCUCUGUGACCUUGAGCAGAGGUUACAGUAGCUAUGAGGCCCCAAAUUCCCUCCUGAGUCCCAGACCCUUAUUUCCCAAAUGCCUGCUGGGUAUGUCUGCCACAGGUUUGUUCUUGAAUUCUCACUUUCCUUUAUUGCUCACAUUCAAUCAACACCAAGUGCUAUAGAUUCUAUCAUCUAAAUACCUCUUAAAUCAGUCACUGCCUGAUCAUCUCUACAGCCAUAGCCUGAGCUCAGACCCUCGUGGUUUCUUCCUCGGAUUAUUGCCUCUUCUCCUCCUGCCUGUUCUCCCUGCCUUCAUCCCACUGCCUUUCUAUCCACCUCGUUGCCUCCAGAACUAUCUUUCUCAGACACACAUCCGAUCAUGUCACUGCCCUGCUGAAAAACUUUGAGUGGUUCUCCAUCAUCUUUAGUGUGGUGUCCAAGGACUUUGACAAUUUGGUUUCAGUCUGUCUUUCUAGACUCAUCUUCUGCCGUUCUCC
rnacentral:lncRNA from 1 species